rnacentral:ribozyme from 13 species
UUUUUAUCGUUUUCCUUCUGUUUUUCCUUCUUUCUCUUUUUCCCCCUCUUUUUCUUUUUCGGGGAAGGGAGUGACAAGGAGAGGGGGGGAGGGGACGGAAGAGAAGGAGCAGAAGAAGAAAAGGAUGGA